rnacentral:rRNA from 1 species
UCGCGACCCCAGGUCAGGCGGGACUACCCGCUGAGUUUAAGCAUAUCAAUAAGCGGAGGAAAAGAAACUUACCAGGAUUCCCCUAGUAACGGCGAGCGAACCGGGAAUAGCCCAGCUUGAGAAUCGGGCGCCCUCGGCGUUC